UACAAAGGGUGCAAGCGUUAAUCGGAAUUACUGGGCGUAAAGCGCGCGUAGGUGGUUCAGUAAGUUGGAAGUGAAAUCCCCGGGCUCAACCUGGGAACUGCUUUCAAAACUGCUGAGCUAGAGUACGGUAGAGGGUGGUGGAAUUUCCUGUGUAGCGGUGAAAUGCGUAGAUAUAGGAAGGAACACCAGUGGCGAAGGCGACCACCUGGACUGAUACUGACACUGAGGUGCGAAAGCGUGGGGAGCAAACAGG
rnacentral:rRNA from 1 species